rnacentral:rRNA from 1 species
AUGUGUGAUCAUGUCGUCGGCACCACAAGCACCUUUGCCCUCUGGCACAAGAUCUGUGACUACUUCCUCGCCAAUCGCGUCGCCCGCUUCAUGAUUCUCAACCGCCAGUACCGCAACCUCAAGCCAGGCGAUCUGUCUAUCUUCGAAUACGCUCGCCGGAUGAAGCUCCUCAUCGACGGUCUCGCCGACAUCGACCGCGUCGUCAUCGAGGUGGAUCUCACCACCCAAUUUCUCCACGGCCUCGACAAGCGGCUCGACACAAUCCGAGUCGUGCUUGGCGAUCAGGAUCUUCCCUUCGACACCGUCCUCUCCCGCGUCGUCCUGGCUGAGGAGUCCCAGGAGCAACGCGCGGCUGAGGAGAGCGCCUCUGCUUUCGCCCUGACCGACGGCACCGCCUCUGGUGCCAGCUCUAGCAUGGGUGGCCGUGCCCAAAGCGAUAGUGUGGAUCGCGCCUCCUGCCGGCGCGCAGGGCGCUCCCCCACUGCCGCCCCCACACCCUGGUCGUGCGCGUGCACUAGUGCAGAACCGGGCAAUAACACCGGUUCGUAA